UUUCCCGCUUGGAAGGGGGGGUGGGGGACGGACAGAGCACACCGCAGGGCAGGUUUCCCGCUUGGAAGGGGGGAUCGGUGAGGAAGAAGCACCCCGCAGGACACGGUUCCCGCUUGGAAGGGGGGGUGGGGGACGGACAGAGCACACCGCAGGGCAGGUUUCCCGCUUGGAAGGGGGGGUGGGGGACGGACAGAGCACACCGCAGGGCAGGUUUCCCGCUUGGAAGGGGGGGUGGGGGACGGACAGAGCACACCGCAGGGCAGGUUUCACGCUUGGAAGGGGGGGUGGGGGACGGACAGAGCACACCGCAGGGCAGGUUUCCCGCUUGGAAGGGGGGAUCGGUGAGGAAGAAGCACCCCGCAGGACACGGUUCCCGCUUGGAAGGGGGGGUGGGGGACGGACAGAGCACACCGCAGGGCAGGUUUCCCGCUUGGAAGGGGGGGUGGGGGACGGACAGAGCACACCGCAGGGCAGGUUUCCCGCUUGGAAGGGGGGGUGGGGGACGGACAGAGCACACCGCAGGGCAGGUUUCCCGCUUGGAAGGGGGGGUGGGGGACGGACAGAGCACACCGCAGGGCAGGUUUCCCGCUUGGAAGGGGGGGUGGGGGACGGAC